rnacentral:rRNA from 1 species
AUGGCAUCCCUCACCAUGCUCAUUGGAUGGAUCAUUUGAAACGAGAGGAACGCCCGCAUUUUUCGCAACAAGAGCACGUCACCCCUAACUUUGUUCAACAACAUCAAGAAUGAAGCCGUCACUUGGGUAACCGCGGGGCUAAGAAACCGGGUACCAUAA